GGACCUCUAAUCGGAAA
rnacentral:rRNA from 1 species